GACGAACGCUGGCGGCGGGCCUAAUACAUGCAAGUAGGACGGAGUUGCGAACGGGUGAGUAACGCGUAGGUAACUACAUGUUAGAGGGGGAUAACUAUGGGAAACGAUAGCGAAUACCGCAUACAAGUAGAAGGACCUGCGUUGUAGUAGCUAGUAGGUAGGGUAAAGGCCUACCUAGGCAACGUGACCUAGCCGACCUGGGGGGGUUAUCGGCCACACUGGGACUUGGCAACGGCCCAGACUCCUACCGGAGGCCAGAGGAGGGGAUCUUCGGCAAUGGGGCGAACCCUGACCAAGCAACGCCGCGUGAGUGGAGGAGGGUUUCCGAUCGUAAAGCUCUGUUGUGCAGGAAGCGGUACUUAACCAAAAAGGGCCGGCUAACUACGUGCCAGCAGCCGCGGUAAUUC
rnacentral:rRNA from 1 species